rnacentral:rRNA from 1 species
GAUGAACGCUGGCGGCGUGCCUAAUACAUGCAAGUCGAGCGAACAGACGAGGAGCUUGCUCCUCUGACGUUAGCGGCGGACGGGUGAGUAACACGUGGAUAACCUACCUAUAAGACUGGGAUAACUUCGGGAAACCGGAGCUAAUACCGGAUAAUAUAUUGAACCGCAUGGUUCAAUAGUGAAAGACGGUUUUGCUGUCACUUAUAGAUGGAUCCGCGCCGCAUUAGCUAGUUGGUAAGGUAACGGCUUACCAAGGCGACGAUGCGUAGCCGACCUGAGAGAGUGGUCGGCCACACUGGAACUGAGACACGGUCCAGACUCCUACGGGAGGCAGCAGUAGGGAAUCUUACGCAAUGGGCGAAAGCCUGACGGAGCAACGCCGCGUGAGUGAUGAAGGUCUUCGGAUCGUAAAACUCUGUUAUUAGGGAAGAACAAAUGUGUAAGUAACUAUGCACGUCUUGACGGUACCGAAUCAGAAAGCCACGGCUAACUACGUG